AGAGUUUGAUCAUGGCUCAGAUUGAACGCUGGCGGAAUGCUUUACACAUGCAAGUCGAACGGCAGCACGGGGGCAACCCUGGUGGCGAGUGGCGAACGGGUGAGUAAUACAUCGGAACGUGCCCAGUCGUGGGGGAUAACUACGCGAAAGCGUAGCUAAUACCGCAUACGAUCUCUGGAUGAAAGCGGGGGACCGCAAGGCCUCGCGCGAUUGGAGCGGCCGAUGGCAGAUUAGGUAGUUGGUGGGGUAAAGGCUCACCAAGCCUGCGAUCUGUAGCUGGUCUGAGAGGACGACCAGCCACACUGGGACUGAGACACGGCCCAGACUCCUACGGGAGGCAGCAGUGGGGAAUUUUGGACAAUGGGCGAAAGCCUGAUCCAGCCAUUCCGCGUGCAGGAUGAAGGCCCUCGGGUUGUAAACUGCUUUUGUACGGAACGAAACGCGCCGGGUUAAUACCUCGGCGUAAUGACGGUACCGUAAGAAUAAGCACCGGCUAACUACGUGCCAGCAGCCGCGGUAAUACGUAGGGUGCGAGCGUUAAUCGGAAUUACUGGGCGUAAAGCGUGCGCAGGCGGUGAUGUAAGACAGAUGUGAAAUCCCCGGGCUCAACCUGGGAACUGCAUUUGUGACUGCAUCGCUGGAGUGCGGCAGAGGGGGAUGGAAUUCCGCGUGUAGCAGUGAAAUGCGUAGAUAUGCGGAG
rnacentral:rRNA from 1 species